UUAAGCGACUAAGCGUACACGGUGGAUGCCCUGGCAGUCAGAGGCGAUGAAGGACGUGCUAAUCUGCGAUAAGCGUCGGUAAGGUGAUAUGAACCGUUAUAACCGGCGAUUUCCGAAUGGGGAAACCCAGUGUGAUUCGUCACACUAUCAUUAACUGAAUCCAUAGGUUAAUGAGGCGAACCGGGGGAACUGAAACAUCUAAGUACCCCGAGGAAAAGAAAUCAACCGAGAUUCCCCCAGUAGCGGCGAGCGAACGGGGAGCAGCCCAGAGCCUGAAUCAGUGUGUGUGUUAGUGGAAGCGUCUGGAAAGGCGCGCGAUACAGGGUGACAGCCCCGUACACAAAAAUGCACAUACUGUGAGCUCGAUGAGUAGGGCGGGACACGUGGUAUCCUGUCUGAAUAUGGGGGGACCAUCCUCCAAGGCUAAAUACUCCUGACUGACCGAUAGUGAACCAGUACCGUGAGGGAAAGGCGAAAAGAACCCCGGCGAGGGGAGUGAAAAAGAACCUGAAACCGUGUACGUACAAGCAGUGGGAGCACGCUUAGGCGUGUGACUGCGUACCUUUUGUAUAAUGGGUCAGCGACUUAUAUUCUGUAGCAAGGUUAACCGAAUAGGGGAGCCGAAGGGAAACCGAGUCUUAACUGGGCGUUAAGUUGCAGGGUAUAGACCCGAAACCCGGUGAUCUAGCCAUGGGCAGGUUGAAGGUUGGGUAACACUAACUGGAGGACCGAACCGACUAAUGUUGAAAAAUUAGCGGAUGACUUGUGGCUGGGGGUGAAAGGCCAAUCAAACCGGGAGAUAGCUGGUUCUCCCCGAAAGCUAUUUAGGUAGCGCCUCGUGAAUUCAUCUCCGGGGGUAGAGCACUGUUUCGGCAAGGGGGUCAUCCCGACUUACCAACCCGAUGCAAACUGCGAAUACCGGAGAAUGUUAUCACGGGAGACACACGGCGGGUGCUAACGUCCGUCGUGAAGAGGGAAACAACCCAGACCGCCAGCUAAGGUCCCAAAGUCAUGGUUAAGUGGGAAACGAUGUGGGAAGGCCCAGACAGCCAGGAUGUUGGCUUAGAAGCAGCCAUCAUUUAAAGAAAGCGUAAUAGCUCACUGGUCGAGUCGGCCUGCGCGGAAGAUGUAACGGGGCUAAACCAUGCACCGAAGCUGCGGCAGCGACGCUUAUGCGUUGUUGGGUAGGGGAGCGUUCUGUAAGCCUGUGAAGGUGUACUGUGAGGUAUGCUGGAGGUAUCAGAAGUGCGAAUGCUGACAUAAGUAACGAUAAAGCGGGUGAAAAGCCCGCUCGCCGGAAGACCAAGGGUUCCUGUCCAACGUUAAUCGGGGCAGGGUGAGUCGACCCCUAAGGCGAGGCCGAAAGGCGUAGUCGAUGGGAAACAGGUUAAUAUUCCUGUACUUGGUGUUACUGCGAAGGGGGGACGGAGAAGGCUAUGUUGGCCGGGCGACGGUUGUCCCGGUUUAAGCGUGUAGGCUGGUUUUCCAGGCAAAUCCGGAAAAUCAAGGCUGAGGCGUGAUGACGAGGCACUACGGUGCUGAAGCAACAAAUGCCCUGCUUCCAGGAAAAGCCUCUAAGCAUCAGGUAACAUCAAAUCGUACCCCAAACCGACACAGGUGGUCAGGUAGAGAAUACCAAGGCGCUUGAGAGAACUCGGGUGAAGGAACUAGGCAAAAUGGUGCCGUAACUUCGGGAGAAGGCACGCUGAUAUGUAGGUGAAGCGACUUGCUCGUGGAGCUGAAAUCAGUCGAAGAUACCAGCUGGCUGCAACUGUUUAUUAAAAACACAGCACUGUGCAAACACGAAAGUGGACGUAUACGGUGUGACGCCUGCCCGGUGCCGGAAGGUUAAUUGAUGGGGUUAGCGCAAGCGAAGCUCUUGAUCGAAGCCCCGGUAAACGGCGGCCGUAACUAUAACGGUCCUAAGGUAGCGAAAUUCCUUGUCGGGUAAGUUCCGACCUGCACGAAUGGCGUAAUGAUGGCCAGGCUGUCUCCACCCGAGACUCAGUGAAAUUGAACUCGCUGUGAAGAUGCAGUGUACCCGCGGCAAGACGGAAAGACCCCGUGAACCUUUACUAUAGCUUGACACUGAACAUUGAGCCUUGAUGUGUAGGAUAGGUGGGAGGCUUUGAAGUGUGGACGCCAGUCUGCAUGGAGCCGACCUUGAAAUACCACCCUUUAAUGUUUGAUGUUCUAACGUGGACCCGUAAUCCGGGUUGCGGACAGUGUCUGGUGGGUAGUUUGACUGGGGCGGUCUCCUCCUAAAGAGUAACGGAGGAGCACGAAGGUUGGCUAAUCCUGGUCGGACAUCAGGAGGUUAGUGCAAUGGCAUAAGCCAGCUUGACUGCGAGCGUGACGGCGCGAGCAGGUGCGAAAGCAGGUCAUAGUGAUCCGGUGGUUCUGAAUGGAAGGGCCAUCGCUCAACGGAUAAAAGGUACUCCGGGGAUAACAGGCUGAUACCGCCCAAGAGUUCAUAUCGACGGCGGUGUUUGGCACCUCGAUGUCGGCUCAUCACAUCCUGGGGCUGAAGUAGGUCCCAAGGGUAUGGCUGUUCGCCAUUUAAAGUGGUACGCGAGCUGGGUUUAGAACGUCGUGAGACAGUUCGGUCCCUAUCUGCCGUGGGCGCUGGAGAACUGAGGGGGGCUGCUCCUAGUACGAGAGGACCGGAGUGGACGCAUCACUGGUGUUCGGGUUGUCAUGCCAAUGGCACUGCCCGGUAGCUAAAUGCGGAAGAGAUAAGUGCUGAAAGCAUCUAAGCACGAAACUUGCCCCGAGAUGAGUUCUCCCUGACUCCUUGAGAGUCCUGAAGGAACGUUGAAGACGACGACGUUGAUAGGCCGGGUGUGUAAGCGCAGCGAUGCGUUGAGCUAACCGGUACUAAUGAACCGUGAGGCUUAACCU
rnacentral:rRNA from 1 species